AUGGGGAAACCACCGCCCGGAAAGUGCUUUCAAGAACUCUGGUUUGGCCUACUAGUGUCUUUUCUUUUGUGCCUUGUAUUGCUUUGCUUGAACUAUUCAACUUCAUUGGGUGCCAACAAUGGGAUCGAUCUUUCGAUGAGCAAACAAGUUCGUCCAAUUGGUGAUAUGAAGAUUAACGACACCGAAGAUUCAUGCUCCGAUCGCUACAUUUAUAUCCAUGAUGAUCUUCCUUCCAAAUUCAACAGUGACUUCCUCAUCAACUGCAAGUCUAUUUCUGCAGGGAUUAGUAGUGUAGCAUACCAAGUAUGUGUCCUGACCUUUUGAAUUUGGGUCUUGGUCCAAAAAUUGAAAACUCUGACGGGGUUUUAGCCAACGAGAGUUGGUUUGUCACAAAUCCUUACUUGUUAGAAGUCAUAUUCCACAACAAGAUGAAGAAGUAUGAGUGUUUGACAAGCAACUCCACUCUGGCUUCUGCCAUUUAUGUGCCAUUCUAUACUGGCAUGGAUGCCAGUGUUCAUUUGUGGGAUUCUAACCUCACUAUCAGAGACUCUUCAGCUAAGAAUUUGGUCAAGUGGCUUUCGGGGCAACCCGAAUGGAAGAAAAUGUGGGGCAGAGACCAUUUCUUUGUUUCUGGGAGGACUUCUUGGGAUUUUAGGAGGGUAAGAGACAAUAGUUCUGAGUGGGGUAGUAAACUCAGGUUCUUGCCAGAGUCCAUGAACAUGACUAUGUUAUCAAUGGAAGGAAGCCUUUGGAAAAAUGACAUUGCUAUACCAUACCCCACAAGCUUUCAUCCUGCAAAGCACAGUGAGGUGGUUCAAUGGCAGAACAGAGUGAGACAACAAGAAAGGCCUUACUUGUUUGCUUUUGUUGGUGCACCAAGGCCUCACCUGCAAGGUUCUAUCCGGGGCAAAAUUAUUGAUCAUUGCCAAGCAUCAACUACUUGCAAGUUUUUGCAUUGCGGUGAAAACAAUUGUCACAACCCGGUUAAUAUUAUUAGGGUGUUUCAGAGCUCAGUCUAUUGCCUGCAGCCUCGAGGGGAUUCAGACACUAGGAGGUCAGCUUUUGACGCUAUUCUGGCUGGUUGUAUUCCAGUCUUUUUUCAUCCUGGCACCGCGUUUUCUCAAUAUUUGUGGUAUUUACCAAAGAAUCAUACCAAGUAUUCCGUGUUUAUUCCGGUGAGGGAUGUAAAAGAUUUGAAAGAAGAAGGCAUCAUUGAUAAAGUCUUGCAGGGAAUUUCAAAGGAUAGGGAAUUGGCCAUGAGAGAGGAGGUUAUAAGGAUAAUACCAAAGCUGGUAUAUGCAGAUCCCGGGUCAAGAUUAGACACUCCAGAUGCAUUUGAUAUAGCUGUGCAGGGAAUUCUUGAGAGAAUAGAGAAUGUUAGAAAGGUGAUUAGAGAGGGGAGGGAUCCUAGUAUUGGUUUUGCAGAGGUUGAUGGUACUAAGUUCACAUUUCCUGAUACAGUUGACUAACUAUAGACUUGGUUGAAUGCAGUAUAUACUUUCUGAGUGGAGAUACAGAAAUUUGGGGGGAGAGGAAGAACAGCUUAUGUAGAGAAAUAAAAUAUAAAGAAAAUAUCUGAUGUUCUAUUGUUUUUAAACUUUAAAUUUAUAGAUCAUAAAUUUGUAUUCCACUAUGCGAUUAUUCUCCAUUGUUUGAUGUCGAUUGCAGAAGCUUUC